CCUACGGGUGGCUGCAGUGGGGAAUAUUGCACAAUGGGCGCAAGCCUGAUGCAGCCAUGCCGCGUGUGUGAAGAAGGCCUUCGGGUUGUAAAGCACUUUCAGCGGGGAGGAAGGCGUUAAGGUUAAUAACCUUGGCGAUUGACGUUACCCGCAGAAGAAGCACCGGCUAACUCCGUGCCAGCAGCCGCGGUAAUACGGAGGGUGCAAGCGUUAACCGGAAUUACUGGGCGUAAAGCGCACGCAGGCGGUCUGUCAAGUCGGAUGUGAAAUCCCCGGGCUCAACCUGGGAACUGCAUUCGAAACUGGCAGGCUAGAGUCUUGUAGAGGGGGGUAGAAUGCCAGGUGUAGCGGUGAAAUGCGUAGAGAUCUGGAGGAAUACCGGUGGCGAAGGCGGCCCCCUGGACAAAGACUGACGCUCAGGUGCGAAAGCGUGGGGAGCAAACAGGAUUAGAUACCCGAGUAGUC
rnacentral:rRNA from 1 species